rnacentral:rRNA from 1 species
AGGCAGCAGUGAGGAAUAUUGGUCAAUGGGCGAGAGCCUGAACCAGCCAAGUCGCGUGAGGGAAGACGGUCCUAUGGAUUGUAAACCUCUUUUGCCGGGGAGCAAAGAGCGGUACGUGUACCGCGCCGAGAGUACCCGGAGAAAAAGCAUCGGCUAACUCCGUGCC